UACAGAGGGUGCAAGCGUUGUUCGGAAUUACUGGGCGUAAAGCGCGUGUAGGCGGCGGCGUAAGUCAGGUGUGAAAGCCCUCAGCUUAACUGAGGAAGUGCACUUGAUACUGUGUCGCUUGAGUGUCGGAGGGGGUGGCGGAAUUCCCGGUGUAGAGGUGAAAUUCGUAGAUAUCGGGAGGAACACCUGUGGCGAAGGCGGCCACCUGGACGACAACUGACGCUGAGACGCGAAAGCGUGGGUAGCAAACAGG
rnacentral:rRNA from 1 species